GGCGGUCGUACUGGUGGUGGUGCUCUUCCUGGGCUUGCAGGCGUUGCUCCCGGGCUCCGCGGUCGGGGGGCAUGGGCUCCCCGCGGGCCGGGAACUGUCCAGCUGGGACCUGGAGAGCUCGGGUUGGUACCCGUAGCUUAGGGACAUCCAGACCUUGGGAACUCACUCCAUUGUUAAGGGACCGGGCGGGGGACGCGCAGCCGAUGCAGCAUAUGAACUGACUGCGGGUGACUCCGUGAGGACCCAGGCCCUGCUGGUGCUGUCCUACGCGGCUCACGCACAGCGCCUUUCCGUGCGCACCUGAGCGGCUUCUCUGGAGGCUGUGAGUCGGUCCAGUCUCUCGCCGUGGUGUGCAGUCCAGGCGGCCACAGUCCUGGGUGGACAGUCUCCUCCCACCCGCCAGCUGGGUAAGGAGGUAAAAAGAUGAAGAUGGUGGGAGCCCGAGGUUAAGAGAAUAAUUCUCUUAAAUGAGCCCACUUUGCUGACCCCCCCAUACUUUCUUUGCUAAAAAUCAGUCUGCCAGCAGCCCCGCACAGCCCAAGUGCACAGGAUGUCACGUUCCUUAGCAAAGGUCAGGCAGUCAGUGUAGGUGAUGAAUGACGGGGGUUGAAAGAGGAUGAGGUCUGGUUAUCAAACAGAACACAAGGUGUUGUUGUCCUCUACAAUCUAAUUGUGCUCCUGGGCACUCUGGGUUGCAAACACUUGACCCCCUUAUCCUUGCUCUAAGGUAUGUACAAGGAAAAGAAAGAGAAGACAAUACUUAAAAGAGGAUUCGAGGGUCUAUAAAAGAGCAACACACCUCUCUGGCAGGCACCCAGCUUUGGGGCCACUUCUGUUGCU
rnacentral:lncRNA from 1 species